UAUGCAUUGGGAAUUGUCACCUUGUUCCCUGCAUUAAAAGAUCAUUUCUCCAGGAAAGGCUAUGUUAUAGCAAGUUGUGUUUAUCUUAAUUAUGACUUAAGACAAUUCAGAGAAAGACAAAACUUGUGUCCAAGGAACCGAAAACGCAGACAGCAGGAGGUGGUCCAAGACAGGAGAGGGAGCUGCCUGAGAUUGGUGGUCAGCUGGAUGGAGAGCAUUGUGAAGAGGUCAUAUCCUUGAUGAACCACACCAGUGACAAGGAAAUCAUCUUGCAGAAGAUGAAGGAGACCUUUGAGUAUAGACAGCAUCUCAUCCACAAUCUUGAUUAAUCACACACUGUACUCUCAGUGUGUCCAAGGCUUCUGGACACUAAAGGGCUGGUACCUCAAGAUUUUAGCCUCCUCUUUGGACCAGAAACAGCUGCCAAACUUCUUGUGAAGUGGCAUACAUCCUAUAAAGGAAAGCGUGGGAUAGUGAUAUGACAUCUUUCCUGCCGCUCCUGCAUAUCCUACCAACUCAGCCUACUAAAAAGAAAACACAGAAUCAGCGUAGUUCAGGCCAUGGACCAUCCAGUUGUGUUUCACAAGUCAUGCAGGAGUCUAUAAGAACACCAGGAGGGACAUCGCCAGCCAUGCCUUCUUGCUUGUGGAACCCACAAGCACGCCAUCAGCUCUUUCUAUGUUGUGAUGGACAAGAAGCUCAUCCCCUGACAGGGAACCACGUCAUUGGCAGCCUUUGGUGAACUCUUUAUAGUGCACUUUGUUUUCAGUGGACAACGCUCUAAGUAACAUUUACACAUUCCCCCAGACAACAGUCUAUAGUAUCUAUGUUGACACCACUAUAGAGAGUCCAAAGGUGAAGAAUUGAGAGCCAAGUUCAUGAACAGGAGCUAAGAGCCAUGUUCUUCAACAAUGUAUACGUGCAACAUUUGUAGAUCCUUGCAUUAGGGCAACUAGUUUUUUCAUGGGUUAUAUCCUGGCAAGAAAUGUGUUGUUCUUUGUGCUCAAGAAGGAUGUUCAUUGCAGUUUAAAAGUUCAAUCUGUUUAGUGACUUAAACACAAACUCUAAAUGGACAAAGUAUUUUAGAGAGAAAUGGUCUGUUGUUGAACCGGUAGAAACUUAGGAGUGAGAUAUGAUUCAAAGAGAAACAAAGUAUCUGGAGUAUAUGAGCAGGUACCAGUAAAUGGCACUUUUAUUGAUAUACCCCUGUUAAAAACAUGAAUAAAAAAAAAUAAAUAAAAAAUAAUAAUAAUAAUAAUAAAACUUUAUUUAUAGAGCACUUAUCAAAACGAAGUACAAAGUGCUUCACAGAGCGAGAAA